rfam:Dipodomys ordii contig_23887, whole genome shotgun sequence.
UGGCUCAGUGGUAGAGUACUUGCCUUGCAUGCAUGAGGCCCUGGGUUCAAUUCCUCAG